GCUCGUUAGAAAGCCCCCCCCCCCCCCGCCAUUCCAGCCCAGGGCCCGGCAGCCCACCAUGUCUGCCCAGUUUCCACAAGUAUCCUGAGGGUCUCCAUCGUGGGCCAGGGGACUGGAGAAGGCCAGCCGGCCCAGCCCGCGCAGGGAUGGAUGUCGGGCCUCAGGCCAGCAGGCUGCCCUGUGAAGGCACCAUCUGUGACCUCAGGGCAGGCGGUGACCAGGGGGCUCACCAGAUCCCGCCCUCGGCCCGGCCCUGGGGCCAUUUCGAUCUCGGUCCCGGGAAUGCCGCCGGUCCUCCUAGGAGACACGACCCAGCCCCACCCCAAAGACAACCUCGAGGCCCGGGGCAGGCCAGCCGCCAGGAAGGCUAGAGCCAAGCCCAGGGACUCCGGGCUCCGUCCAUCUGCGGCUGAUGAUGAUGCCAUGGCUGCCCUGAGGUGGGCCAGGCCCUGCCGGCAGCCAGGUGGCCUGCGGGGAGCUCCCCACGUGGCCUGGUCCGACUACACCGAGCAGCCAGGCCCCCAGAGGAAGGCCUGCAGCCUCCUGGGGUGGUCCGAAAGCGAGGAGGCCAGGGAUGGGGACAGCUCGGUGUCAUCAGGCCGCCUUUCCGGCUCCUCCGGGGGCCACGAGUCCUGCACAUCUCUCCCCGGGCCCUGGAAGGGGCGGCCCCCCCAGGUGCAGGGGCCCCGGCAGCAGCUGAGAGAGAGCAACCCACGACUGGAACGGCUUAGGGACAAGAUCCGGGCCCAGGCACAGUGGCAGGCCAGCUGUGCCUCUCUGGGCACCUCGACGCCCUCCAGCGCCUCGCGCCUCUACAGAGUCUCCAAGCCAGAUCUCCGCAGGAAGGCCGGAAGGCUGGCGCACCCCGAUCCGGCCCCGUGGGACGUACUUGGGCCUGGGGCCACCAUCAAAGGCUUAGGCACCCCGAGCGAGGCUCCGUGUGGAGCAGAAGACAAGACCAUCCUGGGCAGGGGGCGAGAGCCCUCCAGGGUCCCCCAGCGCCAGGCCUCAGCUCCACGGGAGAAAACCAAAAGAAUGAAAAGCUGUCCUUGCACGAGGGAGAGAGCCCCCCAGUCACCCACCUCUAGAAGAGAUGCCAAAGACACAGAUUCUGAGUUGGUCGGUGUUUACGCCUGGAGGAAAGGACCAGCCCUGGCGAGGGCCCUGCUUGGGCCCCCUCCGGCCCUCCCCAGGCUCCAGAGGGAGGCUCCCUCGAGAGACCAGGCCCCCGCCGUGGAAUUAGGAGACAGCAAGAAAGUUGGAGCUGCUAAGAGCUCCCCUGCCCGUCCCCGGAUGCCCAGUCCAGCCUCUGUCCGCGGCGGCCUGCAGGUGUCCGCCAAUACGCCCAACCUGUCCUCCUGCGAGCAGCCUGUGACCAUCCAGAAUGCCAUGGCUGUCCUUAGAGACCUCCGCCAGCAAAUCCAGGCCGGGCUGGAGUUGGCCCGGAGCCACCGCCCCAGGGGAGGGCCAGAGCUGGGGCGGUCAAAGUUGUGGCUGCAGAACCUGGCAGAGAGGAGGCAGCAGGGCCCCUGGAGCACCCCAGAUGUUCGGGGCUCCUUCUCGAAGAGUCCUCGGGCCUUAGAGAGGGCUGGCAGCUUCCCCACGGGGCAUCGCUGGAGCACCUUGGCUGGGUGGGAGUCCUGUCCCCAGAUGACCCGGGCGGCCCAAGGACGGAACCCCUCCUUCCAGAGGCCUGGGAGCCCCCCUGAAAGGCUGACCUCCUUCCCUCAGCGGCCCUGGAGCGCCUCGGCCGGGCGGCCCUCCCAGCCCCAGAGGACCUGGGCUGCUCAUGAAGACUGGGAGAGCUCUGUCCCAAGCCCGUGGAGCCCAGCGGCCCAGCGGCCGUGGAGCGCCUCCUUCCUGCGCAGCAAGGGCACCCCAUGCGGGGGCCGAGGCUCGCUCCCGCCUCCCUCGGAGCCAAAGCGAGCCUGGAUGAGGCCGGCCCCCGGGGCCCCCAGGAACGCCCCUGGGAAGGAGAACGAGGUGAGGGUGCCGCCACCCUGCCCGAAGCCCCGGGGGGUCCUGGGUCACCCCUACAGCUCUGAGUCCCUGCGGGAGUUCAUGCGCCAGAAGGCGCUGGCCCGGAGGCGACAGGCCCUGGAGGAGAAGGCCUCGGCCCUGCGGGCGCUCGAGCUGAAAAACCGGAGGCUGCAGGAUGUGUACAGGAAGCAGAGGGAGGCCGUCCUCGGCAAAGCCGUCCCUGUGGUGUCCCACGCGACCCCCGGCAUCGUGACCUUUUUUCCGCAUUGUGCACAGUCCAAGGGCCUGGAAGCCUCUGGGAGCCUGGGGUCGCCUGUGAUGGAGUGGAGCAAGGUGACCUCCGGCAUGGUGCUGGGGGACCAGGAGGCCCCGGGCAGCUUCUGCCUGUGUCUGAACAGAGCCCUGAACCGCACUGAGACGCUGGGGACAGGCGGCCCCACGCUGAUGUCCGCCCGCUCCUCCCUGGGUCCCCUGAAGCUCCAGGACCUCGCCACCCAGGGCCCGCGUCCAGGGGUGUGCAUCUACCUAGACCCUGAGGAGAGCGAGCGCCUGGGCACAUCGGGGCCCCUGCACUUCCGCUACAAGCAGGCCCGGCUACAGGCUCUGGAGACCAUGGCCAACGUCCUGAAGCAACGGAUUGACAUCCUGACGGCCAAGCUGCACAAGUCGGAGGCACUGGACCCUCCCGGGGACCCGGUCUCCGACCCAUCGUCCUCAUACCUCAGCAGAAUGGCUGCGGCCCCCACGCCCGCAGUCCCCGUCCACUCCAGAGCGUUAGUGCCCCGUCGGGGCGGAGGGACACCCUGGGACUGGGCGGACACGCAGGCCAGGCCGCCGGCCUCACCCACCUGCUUCCCGGACAGCAGGACGCCGUCCUGGAGCCCUGACUGGGAGCGGCGGCACAGCGUGAGCCCGGGGGCCCCCCGCGACAGCCAGCCCCGAGGUCUCACGGAGGACGGAUGUUUGGAGCCAGACAACAGGCUGGCGAGAAACACGGACUCCUUCCAGGCCCUCCGCCCCUUCAUCGGGAGCUCACUCGGGGUGACAGCCAUGCUGGACCCCACCUGCGACUCCCUGCGUCUGGAGAUGCCGUCGGCCAGAGGGGCCGGCUUGCUCACGCCCCGGACCACGCGAAGCUGCGGUCAGCAUUCCGGGCACCUUGCCAACAUCCCCCAGAAGUCCCUGGGCUUUCUCAAGUCACUGAAGCUUGACCAGCAGAAGCGGAAGCAGGCGUUGGCCCUUCUGCGGCAGCGGGCGAAGCGGGAGGUCUGGGAGACACAGAAGGCCCUGGACGAGCUGCUCUUCAAGCACCAGGUGCAGCAGCUGAUGGGGAAACACUCCACCGAGGCCAGGCCGAAACCGGCUUCGGAGGGGAAGCAGCCACAGGUGUGCGGAGGUCUGGAGCCAGUGACUUGUCUGAGCACCGUGACAGCCAGACCCAGAUCGCACCCAGCCCAGGGCAGAGCCACGGCCGCGCCCUCCCAGGACCCCCGGGAAGGACAGCAGAGUCGGGAGGGCAAGUCGGCUCCUGCAGAGCCCAGGCAGGAAGAGAGGCCAGACCGAGCCCCCUCCCAGCUGCCCCUGGCCAGGCUCUACCCUCAGGACAACCCCACCCACCAGGCUGGGCACCGCUCCCACCCGGCGAAGCUGGUCCCGGAGCGGCCCGGUCGGUCUGCCCCGCCCCAGCGGAGCCCGGCGGGGCCCUGGAGCGCGAACCCCGGAGCCCUCGGCUGCUUCACGCUGCAGAUGCUUGACGUGAGCUUGCGGGAGGCGGAGCUGCGCGCGCAGCACCAGGCUGCGAUGCUGCGCCUGCGCGAGAAGGCGCUGGAGGAGAAGAUGCGCGCCGAGCUGGCCUGGCUGGAGCAUCAGCGAGAGUGUCUGGGCGGCGAGGGGAAGGACACGAUGCUGGCGGCCUUGGCAACGAGCCAAGAGCAGGGACUCAGCAAGCUUGAGCAGGAGCAGAGAGAAAGCCGAUACCUGCGGGACAUCCACCUGUGUUCACACCAAGAGAGGAAACUUCUCCUGAAGCACGAAAAGGACAUCGUCUCCCUGCGGAGAUCCAUGGUGCACCUGCGGCGGGAGCUUCAGGCCCGGACCAGGCUGCCUCAGAGUUCCGGCCUUGAGGUCAAGACCACUCAGACGGAGGGCUCUGAGACAAGUGUGCAGCUGAAGGGCCCUGCACGGGGCUCCUCGCGCCCCUUGUCACCGCCCGGGCCCGCCAGCCCCGCCAGCCACUGCCCCCGGACAAGCCCUGAGACCCCACGAGUCCGACACCUUCUCAGCGAGCAGGCGGAUGGGACGCCCCCCCAGGCAACCUCAGCUGCGGAGAGUCACCGGCCGCCUCCAAGGCCCGCGUGGGGAGAGGACACUCCUGUGGCCGGCAGCUGGCCCGACACGGGGCGCCGGCUGGAGGAGAGCCACAGCCCCGUGGGCCAAGGAGACCCCCAGAGCAACCCCAGCCCCACGUCAGCAGAGGAGAAGACCCCGCCUCUGACAGACAGCCGUGCACAGAAGCUCCAGGGCCCGAACUCCCCGGGCGGAGGGGGUCCCUGCGGCCCCCUGGAAGCCAGCGUGGUUGAAGGCCACAUCGGCCUAGCAGGGUCAGAGCUGGGGCUGGAUUUUGCCGGCAGCCCCGUGGAGGAGCCCCACAGGAUGGAAGGCUGGUGGCUGGGGGAACAGAGGACCGAGAGCUGCGGGCAGGACCCCUGCGGCCCCUUCUCUCCACCGGUGGCCGCCCAGCUGACCGCUGCUCCAGCUCCGGUACCACCCAGCCGGCCUGAGGGCAGCCCCCUGCCGCCGCUCAGGGCCCCCUCGGACCCGGGCCCGGAGUCCGAGGCUGCUCCCUGGAGCCGCUCGGGGUCUUGGGCGGGGUCCCCUGCCUCCUCCUCCCCGAGUGGGGUGUCCUGCCGUUCUCUCCAGGAGUUUCAGAGAGCAGCCGCCGUCCUGGUUCAGCUCUGUGAGAGCCCCGUCUCCGUGUCAGACUGGGGGGGUGGGGACGUCCCAGACACGGACCCUGGCUGUUCUGGGGAGCUCUGUCCUCAAGACUCCUGGGGGCUCCACCAGGGCGGGGGGCAGGUGGCCCUGGAGAGGCCAGAGGGCGGUGGGGCCGGGCCCCUGGGCGGCCCCUCCACGGAGCCGGGGGGCGUCCUGCGGGAGGGCUGGCCGCUGCCUCCCCCGGACGCCCCCUCUCCGAGGUCAGGGUCAGAGCUGUCAGAGGCGUCCAGCGAGGUCUGGGACGAGGAGAACCUUCUGGAGCCUGGCUGGGGGCCCUCCUUGUCUACAGGAGGCUCGUCCCACCUGGAAAAUGGCGGGGCGCCCGGCUCUGCACUUGCUUCCUUGGGCCCUGGGGAGGGGCAGGAAGCAUCUGGAAGCACUGGGAGCCUCAUCCGUGAACUCACUACGGAAGAGGGCCCAACAGACGUCCCCCGAGGCUGCCCGCAGGCCCUCCCGUCCACGCCCUCGUUCUCCAGUGACUUGGACCUGUCCCUUUCCUCUCCCUCGGGGUCCUUGGCAUCCGAAGGGGUGGAUUCUGGCAGAGGAGAGACCAGGCCUCUGCAGGCCUCGGCUGCCUGCCCAGAGGGGCCCUGGGACGCUGCCCUGAGUCUGCCCAGCGACAGGACACCACGACAGUCCUGGUCUGAGCCUGAGGUCCCCGUGACCCCGCGGGCUCCUCCUGGGGACCCUGGCGGUCUGGUGGCCCUGACACCCCAGGGCUGGGCACCCAGAUGUAGGGGCAGUGGAGACUCCCCUGACUCCGAGGAAGCCUGCCCCACGCCGUCCAGCAGGGCCUUGCCUGAGAUCCUGUCCCCCGUUGACGACGUGCUAUCCUAUGGCAGUGCCGACCUGUCCUCCGCUCACAGGGAUGCCCGCCUCCCUCCUCUGCCUCCCACCUUCCCAGCAGAGGAUUUGGCCAACACGACCAGCCCCGACUCAGGAGACUUCCCUUCCCCACCUGAGGAUGUCAUGUCUCCUGGGAGCUUGCCAGGCCCCCCGGGGGAGGACGCCUCCAUCAAAACUGGGGAGUUGCCCUCCUUGUCUGAGGAGGACACACCCGAGGCACCAUCCCCAGGGCCCCAGGAGUCGGGGCUCUGCCUGGGGGCAGGCAGACAGGGCGGAAGCCCUGGGGACGAAUUGGGUGAGUCACGUUCGGUUUCCAGGGAUCAGGCCGUGGGCAGCCAGUGGUCUGACCCAGCCGGCUGGCCAGGGUGCCCCUCUGGGGGCAGGGCAGGAGACGCCCCUGGAGGGCUCCCAAGGCUGCCGGUGCGGCCCCCGACCCUGUCCAGAGUGGCCUUUAUGGCCGGGGAGGGUCCGCCAGUGCUGGCAGCCGCUGGCAGCCCUGGGCAGGGCGACCCAGCUCCUGCUCUGGGCGCGGGCCCCUGCGCUGACCCGCCGGGCACGGAGGGAGCCAAGGUGGUGGAUCUGGUCUCCAGCCAGCUUAGCAGGAGGAUCCUGUGCGACACGCUGGCUGUGCUCUUGGAGCCGGCCCAGCCGGCGGCCCCCUGACGGAAGAGCCGCCGUGUCCCGCAGGCUGGCCCGGCGGCCGCUGCAGGGCCUCGGGAGGACGGGGCCCACGGUGACAUGGGGUGCCAUUGCGCAUGCGUGUGCAUGGCGUGUGGGAUGCUCCGGGAAGCCUGGGCCACCGAGGGCAGAGCCACCAUUCAGAACAGCCUGCCUGCGGCUGGCCCCCGAGUAGUCGUCUGGUGCUGGGCUGGGGCCUGGGCGGGGACAUGGCGGGGAGUGCGGUGAGCUCUGUGUUCUUCCGGACGUUGGGGCCGCUGCGUCCGUCAGGCGCCUGGAAGGGCCCCUGAUCCAAAGACUUUAAGAGGCAGGAAGGUAAAAGGCUGUGCGGGCGUGUCCAGAGGCUGGCCGGUCGAGGAAAGGUGUGGAGGUCAUGGAUUGACAGAGAACGGUCCGGAGGGGAGCGGUCCCCAAGGACGAACCAGAGACCACAUGCCGGGAGGCAGAGCCAUCGGCAAAGGCUGGGCGAAGAGAGAGAGAGCCGCUCUGGGGGGACAGGGGAGCAAGGGGUGGUGGAGACGGGCUGGGGGUCACGUCUGCACAGACUCACACCCCAGCUUGGCGGCUUCUGAAGGCCAAGGGCAUGCAUGUGGGCCUACCCCGCUGUGGACAUCACAGAUCUGUCAACUCAAGGGCCGGAGGUGACCAGCCACGCCCCAGGACUGCCCUCUGGCGGGAGGUGUGCCAAGGGCUCCUUGAGGACUCUGGACUCCUGGAGAGGCCAGAGUCCGAUUCCUGGUGGCUGUCCACCAUCGAAUGAGCCCUCGGGAUGCAGGGUGGUCUCGGAGCAGGGAGCAGUUUGCAGAGGUGUUGGCGGUGCGAUCCCUCUAGGGCUUGGCUCCUCCCCUCCAGGGCAGGGACUUCCCAGGCCUCAACAGAGGAACUCCUUUGGAGUUGACACUUAUGGACCCCUGGGGAGCCGGCGACUUCCCUGCACACUUGUGGUUAGCUGGGGGGCGUGGCGGAGCCCAGAGUUCUGCCUGUGCCCUCCACCUUCCAGCCCGGGAGCGGAGGCUGCCUCCAGGCAGCCCUCCACCAGGCCCCCGCGUCAGGGCAGCCUCCUGUACCCAGGCCAGCUGCUCGCCAGACGGACUUUUGUCACAGGCUCACUCGUCCGGUUUCACGGCUCAGGGAGGCACCAGCUGAGACACUUCAUGCUGAUUUCGCACUGGGUCCCCCCACGCCCACCAGGGAACCCCGGGACGGGCUCGGGCGGGGGGCAAUGUGCUCUUGCUGUGCGUAUGCGAUUUCAAAACAAGUUCUGAGCUACAGCUUUCCUAUUGAUUUCCUUCUAGUUUUCUGAACAAAUCAGUCUGUAAUUUUUUAUUUUUUUUCCAUUUAUUGCUGACCCUUUUGGAUUUACGAGGCCGUGCGAGAGGGAUUAUGUAUUUUACACACACACGUUUGGCAUGGUCGGCGCCGUGGAGGGUGUCAGAAGCCCUCCGUCUCAGCUGACACGGCGAGUGAGGGGCGUGGGCUCUGAGGUCCGUCUACUGCUGCCUUCACAGCCUCACUGGGCUCACCUCGGCUCCAAUCCCUGCUAACCUCUGGGGCUGAUAAAUCUUGGUCUCCAGAAGGGCCAUUAUCCUUCAUAGAAAGUGGUUAUUUCUGGGGCGCCCGGGUGGCUCAGUCGAUGGAGAGUCCGACUUAAGCUCAGGUCACGGUCUCGCGGUCUGUGGGUUCGAGCCCCGUGUUGCGCUCUAUGCUGACAGCUCAGAGCCUGGAGCCCGCUU